rnacentral:rRNA from 1 species
UACGAAGGAUUCGAGCGUUAUCCGGAUUUAUUGGGUUUAAAGGGUGCGUAGGCGGACUAAUAAGUCAGUGGUGAAAGCCCGCAGCUUAACUGCGGAACUGCCAUUGAUACUGUUAGUCUUGAGUACAGUUGAGGUGGGCGGAAUGUGUCAUGUAGCGGUGAAAUGCUUAGAUAUGACACAGAACACCGAUUGCGAAGGCAGCUCACUAAGCUGUAACUGACACUGAGGCACGAAAGUGUGGGUAGCAAACAGG